rnacentral:rRNA from 1 species
GGCCAGCAGCCGCGGUAAGACGGGGGGUCCUAGCGUUGCUCGGAAUCAUUGGGCGUAAAGCGGGCGUAGGUGGCUACGUAAGUCAGGAGUGAAAGCCCUGGGCUCAACCCAGGAAGUGCUUUUGAUACUGCGUAGCUUGAGUGUGGGAGAGGGCAGUGGAAUUCCAGGUGUAGUGGUGAAAUACGUAGAUAUCUGGAGGAACACCGGCGGCGAAGGCGGCUGCCUGGCCCAACACUGACACUGAGGCCCGAAAGCGUGGGGAUCAAACAGGAUUAGAUACCCUGGUAGUCCACGCCAUAAACGAUGGAUACUUGGUGUUGAAGGUAUUGACCCCUUCAGUGCCGAAGCUAACGCGUUAAGUAUCCCGCCUGGGGAGUACGGUCGCAAGAUUAAAACUCAAAGGAAUUGACGGGGGCCCGCACA